UGAUGUUUUUGGAGACAAGUACGCUGAUGAGAGAAUGUGGAAGAGGCUUUUGUACAGUGUGCAAGAAAAAUACUUAACAAAAUUGAAUAAGUGGGCCCAGUGAGCUGCAGGAGGAUGCAGGGACUGCAGGGCUGUCACAGGCACUGACGGAGCAGGGUUUCCCUCCUGGUGGUGCUGACCUGUCUGACUGCCGAGAGCCGAUCAGAAGCGCCGCCUCCCUGUCUGCCGAGCCUGAGGUCCAGUCUGUUCUGGAUGGAGCAGGGCCCUGAGCUGAGGCCACACCCUGAGAACUCAGAACUGAGGGAGCAGAUGGAGGAAGGGGAGCCGGCAGGUUGGGGGAUGAGAAUGACCGAAACAAGGACACGGGAACGGUGGUGCAGGUGGACACACACGGGCUGGUGGGCCCUGGGUGACAACACUCCUGACCUCCCGGGACACCACCAGCAUCUGCCUCCAGGUCGUGUCAAGGUCAACAGAGCCAAGGUCUCCAGGGGGAGCUGCUGACUCCGUCAUGGCCACCUGGAGACACCAUGAGGCCAGUUUAGUGGGACCCUUAAGUCCAUGUCUGCCAGAAAGAGUGUGGCAAGUUCAGGGAUGUCCUGGAGUCCGUGCUGGGGGUGAGGCUGGACUUCUGGGAGGAGGAGUGGGCAGAGAUGCCGACCCUGGAGGACGAGCUCAGGUAAGGCUGCUGUGUGUGGGGCAGACAGGGGGACGUGUGAGUCUCUGAUGUGGGCAGCUCAGCUGGGACAUCUAAGAGCCCACCUUGCCAGGGCAAUGGCAGGAAUGCACGAGGCCGGCAUGUUUUUCACAGAUAUUAAUAAAACAAGAUGAAAACAAAACUAAGGAUGUAUUCUGGCCCACAACUGUGACUCAGAGCCAGGUUUUCUCCUUCCAAACAAGAAGUUGUUAGGGUGAAAGUCACGUAACAUAAAGGUAACCAAAGGACAGUGACAACUCAGCAGCAUUGAGUGUAGUCACACUGCGCAUUCAGGUGAUGGAAACACUAAAAGCCCCGACUCCACACUGUGCGAUAUAUCCCUGUGACAACACUGCACUUGGACCCGUCACAGACAUACAAUUAAAACUUUACAGUGUUGUGCAGUCAUCGUCCCAUUCACUCUGAAUCACACUCACCCUGACUGAAUGUGGCUUCUGAGACUGUUACCCAAAGAACAUUGUCCCCUUGGCCUGGUUAUCCUCUGUCUUUCAUGCUUUCAACUGGCCCCAGCUGGAGCUGGCACAUUGCUUCCUGUGGCUGCGUGUCCAGUCACAGCAGAACGUGCUGGGUGUGUCUUCACGUGGAAAAGGCCUUGGCCACAGUGAGGGACUGAGGGACACCGUUGUGAAGCCGAUUCAGGAAGACACCUGGCUCCUCUACAGAAGGAAACAGGAAGGGAGCAUCAAGGAUCUCACAGGGACACUCUGUGAUGCACGGGAGGCUUUCCCUGCACAUUCUUCUCUCUCUUUGCCACAAGCAGGUCACCAAAUACGUGCUAGAAUUGCACUUGGAAGGCUUCCUGGGGACACCUUCACAGAACUGUCUGCUACUGUGCAUAUACUCUAUUGUCAACUGUGCCUUUUCAUAUUUGCUUUUGUUCC